rnacentral:rRNA from 1 species
AUUGAACGCUGGCGGCAGGCCUAACACAUGCAAGUCGAGCGGAGCGGCGGACGGGUGAGUAAUGCCUAGGAAUCUGCCUGGUAGUGGGGGAUAACGUCCGGAAACGGGCGCUAAUACCGCAUACUAUCAGAUGAGCCUAGAUCGGAUUAGCUAGUUGGUGGGGUAACGGCCUACCAAGGCGACUAUCCGUAACUGGUCUGAGAGGAUGAUCAGUCAAACUGGAACUAGGACACGUGCCAGACUCCUACGGGAGGCAGCAUUGGGGCAUAUUGGACAAUGAGCGAAAGCCUGAUCCAGCCAUGCCGUGUGUGUGAAGAAGGUAUUCGGAUUGUAAAGAACUUUAAGUUGGGAGGCGUUACCAACAGAAUAAGCAACGGAUAACUUCGUGCCAGCAGCCGCGGUAAUUC